rnacentral:lncRNA from 1 species
CGAUUUUCAUCAACAUAUAUCACCAUAAAAUCAAAAUUCACAUAUUUCCAACAGUUGUAAGGAUAGCAAACCAAUAGUUUGAGAAGACAAUACAUCACAAAAUUUGACAAAAAAGAAUAAAUGACCGAGAUUAAUCAACCGGGGACCCUAAGUACUCGAGCUCGUCGUCGUCCACCGUCUUCUCUCCGACGGACUUGGCUGGGCAGCUCCAAAUCUGAAAUUCCGAUUUACAGAUCGUCGGAUUCGACAUCACGACAACCACCAGCAGCAUCUUCACUGCCGCUUGCAGCAGAUCCGCUUCCGACGACAGCGCCGUCGACAGCGUCGCUCUAGAGGUGGAGAUCGAGAUCGCAUUCAUCCACGGCAGGAGCGCCACACCGCAAUGUGCCUCAGCCGCCGCCCUCACCUCCUGCCACAGCCGUAGUACGACGAUUCGCCGUCGAAAGAGAAAAAAAGGGGGAAGAGAGAGUGUAGAGAGAGAGCGCUUUCUGCAGAGUGAGAGCUCUUCUCUCUCUCUCUCAAAAAUCAGACACGCCGCCCAACAUCUCUUUCUCUCUCCGUCUCCUCACGAGCUCCACCGCGUAUGGCCCCGGCGAGGCCGCGUCCGGCCGAGGGCGUCGCUCCACGCCCGCUCCUCUCUCUCAACCUCAGACGCCUCAUCGCCUAGAUUCUCCUUCUCCCUCUCAAUUCGCCCCCAAUUUAUCAAAUCGAAUCAAGCCCUAAUUUUCCUCUUAAAUCCGAAAUCGCUGCCGCUGCUGUAACUCCCGGCUUCGUCCUCUUCAUUCUCGAGUCGCCUCUCUCAAUCGAUUGGAGCAACGGAAUCAGCCCAGAGAGAGAGAGAGAAUAGAGCGAGAGAGUGAG